rnacentral:rRNA from 1 species
AUGUCACAUUCCGUAAAAAUUUACGAUACAUGUAUAGGAUGCACUCAAUGUGUACGAGCUUGUCCAACAGAUGUAUUAGAAAUGAUACCCUGGGAUGGAUGUAAAGCUAAGCAAAUUGCUUCCGCGCCGAGAACCGAAGAUUGUGUGGGUUGUAAGAGAUGUGAAUCUGCCUGCCUGACAGAUUUUUUAAGUGUCCGCGUUUAUUUAGGGCUUAUAUAA